UUCGUAGAUUUCUGAUGAGAAGACUGGAGGGUGAGAGUGAAAAACUGAUAUUGCUGUUCCUUAGGGGGCAGUGAUUGAAGUGUGGGAGGGUCGUGCAAAGACCAAGACUGAUGGGGUGAAGUAUUUGAAGUGGUGUAGUAUUUGAAGUGUAGAAGAGUCGUGCGAAGACCAAGACGGAUGGGGUGGUGAAGAAGUAUUUGAAGUGUGAGGGUCGUGCGGAGGCCAAGAGGGAUAGAGGGUCGAGAAAUUUUGUGAAGAAAUUUUGUAGAGAAACUUUGUAGAAAUUUUGUGUUCAUUACUUUCGUGUUCAUUGCUUUCGUGUUCAUUGCUUUCGUGUUCAUUACUUUUGUGCUCGUUACUUUUGUGUACAAAUUUUGUGUGUUGUGUGUUUGUGCCUGUGCGUAGUGUGGUUUUGUGUUUUGUAUGGUCGAGGGUCGUGCCUCGCCCAAAUCUAUUCGUAUGGCUUUCAUUUUGCCCUCUAUAUGAUUUCUCUGGUCCCUAAAACACCCCUCCAUUUGAUUCGGGAAGCCAAUUGUCGGGAGCGAUUUUUGAAUAGGAUCCCAAAGUUUUGCAUUCUUGAGUGAGCGCGAGAAAAAGAUAGAAACAGGAGGAAAAAGCGGGGGUGAAAAAUAUAAUAAAGUAUAAUGUUAAAUAAUAAAAAAUAAUGAUAUAUAAUAAAAAGUAAUAAAACAGCCUAAUACAAGGUUAAGCCUUUUUUGAUUGGGAUGUUUUGGCGCGCGCGGGGAGGAAAUUUCCAGGAUUUUACGCAACUUUUGUGAGACUCCAGAAAAAUAAAUAUUUUUGCAGCAGGCAAUCUGCGCGGUUGCAGCAUUUUGCGGCCGGAGGUACUAUAUGAGAGAAAUCUCUUAGGAAUAGUGCGUAUGAAAUUCAUACGUCCAUUCCAUUCGGAAGUAAUUUAUAUGAAUUUUCGUAAUCUAUAUGAAUUUCCAUACAAAUUACCUCCUUGGCCCCGCGAUUUAUCGCUCAAGUCUCGGACUGACAACGUCUCCCCGAGCAAGGUGAAACAGUGGAUUACUAGGCAAUGCCAAAUCUACAAACUCACAGAUCUUUAGAUCUUUUUGCUACGAGUCAGUGGACAAUCUUUAAUUAAUAACUUCUUAUUAGUUAUCUGGUUG
rnacentral:misc_RNA from 1 species